AUGCAACCUAAUGUCCUGGAGGAAAUACUCGACGGAAACAUGAAGCCAACGGAUCUACGCUUAGCACUUUUAGAGAACAUCACAGACAAUUUCUCCAAAGAGCGGCAAAUAGGCGAGGGUGGGUUUGGAAUGGUUUACAAGGGUGUGCUCAGAAAUGGGAAUGUCGCUGUAAAGAAAAUUAUGAACACUCACACAAUUGACGAGAAGCUAUUUCGUCGCGAGGUUACCAGCUUGAUGAAGGUUAACCAUAAAAAUGCAGUACGGUUUCUUGGGUUCUGUUCUAAUACGGAGCAUAAAGCCAUACAAAUUAGCGGAUCAGCAGAAUAUAUUUUUGCUGAGUUAAGACAACGAUUGCUCUGUUUUGAGUAUAUCAACAAUGGAAGCCUUGAUAAAUAUAUUACGGAUGAAUUGAGGGGACUUGAAUGGAACAUACGGUAUGACAUAAUUAAAGGAAUCUGUGAAGGAUUGCAUCACCUUCACAAGGAAAAUGGUAUAAUUCAUAUGGAUCUUAAACCGGUCAAUAUACUACUAGAUGAUCAAAUGGUACCAAAAAUUUCCGAUUUCGGCCUUUCAAGACUUGAGGAAAACUCACAAACCAUGAGUACACACCGCUUCUUAUCACUGUACGUAAGCUCUGCAUCAAGCAAGCCAAUUCCUUUCCCUGGCUUCUACUUGCUUAAAUUAGAAACAAUUUUUUGUACUAUUAUGCAGAGGAUACUGUGCUCCGGAAUACCAAUUUGA
rnacentral:rRNA from 1 species